UAUUGUUAUAAUAUCUUUUAUUGAUACUAUUUAUAAACAAUACGAUAUUAAUUAAACAGCACUAAAAUUUCUCUUAGGGCGCGUUUGGUUUAAGUUAUAUAAUAUUACAGAGUAUUUCGAUAUAUCCAGGUAUCUUGGAUUUCUAUAAGCGAUUACUACUUAUACUGCAUUAGCGCGUUUGAUUUAAUAUAGUAAUGUAAUGUUGGAUUGUAGUGGUUAUAGCGUUAAUAUGUUUUGUUCUAUCUAUAAAAUUUAGUAAUCUAGACAAUAAAGUAUAGUCUAUUCCAAAAUUAUCCUUUAACCAUAUUUUGUAAACUUUUUUUUUAUUGUUUACAAAUAAUAUUUUUUUACUAAAUUUUAUUUAAAUAAUUUAAUUUUUUAAAUUUUAAAUUUUAAAUUUGAACAAAAAUAUAAAUUUAAUAUUUUAAUUUAAAUAUAAAUAUGAAAUUUAUAAAUUUAAAAUCCAAAAUAUAAAUAUAAAUAUAAAAUUAAAAAUUAAAAAUAAAAAAUCUAAAUUUAAAAUUCAGAAAUUAAAAUUUAGAAUUUGAAAUUUAAAAUCUAAAUUUUUAAACUUCAAAUUUAAAA
rnacentral:lncRNA from 1 species